rnacentral:tRNA from 1 species
CGGAGCGUAGCGCAGUUUGGUAGCGCAUCUGCUUUGGGAGCAGAGGGUCGCCCGUUCAAAUCGGGCCGUUCCGACCA